rnacentral:lncRNA from 1 species
GGACAAGAGUGAGUUUAGAGGUUGGGUCCUUCAUGAUCAUCUUCAACAUUAAGGUCCUUUUACUCCAAUUUUUGCAUAGGGAAUAUCCUAGAAACUAAGUCCAUUUGUCCACUUCUUUGCAUUUGGUUCACAACAAUCAAAACAAAACACAAGCACAAUAGUAUAUACACAAUUAUGUGCUCAAGUGAGCAAAAGGAAAAUGGCAUUAACAUAAACAUGUGCUCAAGUGAGCAAAGGAAAA